rnacentral:rRNA from 1 species
GACGAACCGAGCGAACGUUAUUCGGAAUCACUGGGCUUAAAGGGUGCGUAGGCUGCGCGGAAAGUUGGGUGUGAAAUCCCUCGGCUCAACCGAGGAACUGCGCCCAAAACUGCCGUGCUCGAGGGAGACAGAGGUGAGCGGAACUUAGGGUGGAGCGGUGAAAUGCGUUGAUAUCCUAAGGAACACCGGUGGCGAAAGCGGCUCACUGGGUCUCUUCUGACGCUGAGGCACGAAAGCUAGGGUAGCGAACGGG